AGAGAACAAGAAUCCCACUGAUACAUGAUGGACUACAAAUCUGGGUUACUAUUUUCUAUUAUCUACUUUACAGGCAUUUAUUGUCAGACUCUGACAGAAUCUGAGUCAGUGGCUAAAAGACCAGGAGAAUCCCACAAACUGACCUGUACAGCCUCUGGUUUCACAUUCAGCAGCUAUGAGAUGAACUGGGUCAGACAGGCUCCUGGAAAAGGACCAGAGUGGAUCGCUUAUAUCAAUAGUGGUGGUGGUGGUACCAAGUACUACUCACAGUCAGUCCAGGGCAGGUUUACCAUCUCCAGAGACAAUGGAAGAGAGCAGCUGUAUCUGCAGAUGAACAGCCUGAGAUCAGAGGAUUCUGCUGUUUAUUAUUGCGCUCGAGAGGCACAGUGACUGAAUCUGUUUCAGCAGCUCUACAAAAACCUCAAUCCCCCUCAGAGUUAUCUAGUGGCAUAUUUUAUUUUCUCUGUCAGACUUGUCUGUAAAACUAACAGUGACACAGUUAUUUAUUUCAUGUUUUUAAUUUUAAAAUAAAUAAUUUCAAAAUAAAGUUUCAAUACGAAAGUUAUGAUUUUUGCAUAAAGUGCAAAACAUUUAACAUAAUGAAUAGA